GGGGACGACAGGCUUCGACGCGGUCGGUUCGUAGGGAUGGUUGCGAGUCGAGGUCCGGGGAGGCCUCGUAAAACACCCCGGAAAAAAUACGUGCGUACUCUCACGAGCACGCGCUCGCCGCUUAGCACAUAGCUAAGCCGUGAGCUCUGGGCCCUCGCCAGCCGGCCGCGAGGAUCGCCUGGAUCAGAUGCCGGCUCACCCGGGACGGUCCGCCCUCGCCAAUCCGGGAACAUUUCAGAGGGCUGGCUUCCGUGAACCCCGCCGGCGAGGCGACGCGGAAGUGAGAUCAGAGCGCCGGAUACGCUCGUAGACAUCAUCUUUUACGCGAUUGCGGACGCGGGUUCGAUUCCCGCCGUCUCCACUG
rnacentral:tmRNA from 1 species